rnacentral:lncRNA from 1 species
UCCUUCCUCCACUAGGUCCUCGCCCGAUGCCUCCCCGCAAAGCAUCCAUGCGACGAUCCAUGGCCUCCACCACCAGAUCUCAGGCUCUGGCCUCACCUCCAGUUUCCCAGCCUCCUCCUCCUCCUCCAGCAAUGACUGAUGGUGCGAAGCAAUUCGACAUGCUGGUGUAGCAGGUCAGAGGCCUCACUGAAGUUGUGCAAGCCAUGCAACAGCAGCAGCAGCCGCAGGCGUCAGUG